rnacentral:rRNA from 1 species
GAUGAACGCUGGCGGCGUGCCUAAUACAUGCAAGUCGAGCGAACAGACGAGGAGCUUGCUCCUCUGACGUUAGCGGCGGACGGGUGAGUAACACGUGGAUAACCUACCUAUAAGACUGGGAUAACUUCGGGAAACCGGAGCUAAUACCGGAUAAUAUAUUGAACCGCAUGGUUCAAUAGUGAAAGACGGUUUUGCUGUCACUUAUAGAUGGAUCCGCGCCGCAUUAGCUAGUUGGUAAGGUAACAGCUUACCAAGGCAACGAUGCGUAGCCGACCUGAGAGGGUGAUCGGCCACACUGGAACUGAGACACGGUCCAGACUCCUACGGGAGGCAGCAGUAGGGAAUCUUCCGCAAUGGGCGAAAGCCUGACGGAGCAACGCCGCGUGAGUGAUGAAGGUCUUCGGAUCGUAAAACUCUGUUAUUAGGGAAGAACAAAUGUGUAAGUAACUAUGCACGUCUUGACGGUACCUAAGCAGAAAGCCACGGCUAACUACGU